rnacentral:hammerhead_ribozyme from 1 species
UUUUAGCUGAUGAAUCUCAAAUAGGAUGAAACGAUCGUCCUGGAU